ACGGUUUUUUUCAAAAACCGUUAUCUAUGAGCGCACUUUUAGUAAUAGAUAACGGUUUUGCAAAAAUCUGUUAUCUAUGUAGUGUUGUCUAUAUGCAUAGAUAACGGUUUCAAUUAAUUCGUUAUGUUUUUGCGUUAUCUAUUAGUUACAUACAUAACGGUAUUACAAACCGUUAAGCCGACCGUUAUCUAUGUGCGUAUUUUUAAACUUUUACAUAACGAUUAUUGAAACCGUUAAGAAAAAGUGUUAUGUAUGCCAUUAUUUCAUUUAAUUUUUUAUUUUAAUAAUUAAUUUAUUAAUUAAAUAAUUUAAAAAUAUUGUAUAAUUGUAUCUCUCAAACACGGUUCUCCUCCCCACAUCUCUCUCUCUUCGCGAUCUCUCCCCCUUUGAGAGAUAGUCGCCGCCGCUGCCGAGGCAAGUUCCGGCGAAUGGUAGCUAUUCGCGCUCUUCCGGCGACAUCGGUCGCUGCGACCUCGCCUCUCCAUUUUCCUCUAACAUAUAGCUAGGGCAAAGGUCGAGCCCUAGUUCUUCUCUGUUCGGUACAACCUAGCCAUCGCCAUCUCAGGGAGACUGGCGAGCUGCGCGACCUAGAGCCCGCCCAUCGUUGCUGGUGCUCCGAGGAUCGCCGUCCUUUUCCUUUUUUUCUCUUCGUCUCGGUUUCCCUCUCUAAUCCCUCACUGGAAGCGCGCAAUUGAAGGGAAGAAGUCGAGCCCUAGCUUCUCUGUCUGAAAUCGUUGGUCGCCGCCCUGGCAUGACGACGCCGCAUCUCCCUAGGUCGGAAAUCGCAACACCGCUAAAGUCCUUCCUCUGCUCACGGAUGGAGCCCUAGUUUCUCUCGAUCGACGCCUUAUACCGAGCUCCUUUCCUUCGUUCUGGGAUUCCGCUCAAAAUCAGAGCUCGCACAUUCGUGAAUGGCUCCGGCGAGGUUGGCUGCUGCUGCCUGUGAAGUUGGCGAGGCCAAUGCUAUUUGGCACCGUCACCGUUGGGGCUGGGUCCAACAGUUGCGGAAGCCCCACCGUCUCUGUAUCUCCCUCUCUCCAUCGCUCUCUCUAACACCGGUAUGAAUAUAUCGAGAAUCACCUAUUGGGUUCACUUCAAUAUACAAUUCACAGUAUAGCUCCUUACCAGUCAAAAGAUAAUGAGAAAGCAGAUGAGCUAACUUUUGGAGGGAGCACUCUAGGACAUAGCAAUAGUGAAAACUGCAUCCAAUCGUUCUUGCUACUCUUUGUAAGUCAAAAUUAUUCAUUCUCAAUGAUAAGGUACUUUGUUGAACUGAAUUUGAGAUUGAGAGUGAAACUAGAGUGAUGUAAUGUUCAAGAGUAUUUUCUGCUGCAGCUUUUUAUCUACCACAAGUAAGUUAAUCUGAAUUCUACA